GACGAACGCUGGCGGCGUGCUUAACACAUGCAAGUCGAACGGAAAGGCCCUGUUCUUGUGGGGUGCUCGAGUGGCGAACAGGUGAGUAACACGUGAGUAACCUGCCCCUUUCUUUGGGAUAACUUCAUGAAACUGGGGCUAAUACCGGAUAGGAGCUCCUUCUGCAUGGUGGGGGUUGGAAAGAUGCGGCGGUUCGGGACGGACUCGCGGUUUAUCAGUUUGUUGGGGGGGUAGUGGCUUACCAAGGCUUUGACGGGUAGCCGGCCUGCGAGGGUGAGCGGCCACAAAGGGACUGGGGAGGCGGCCAGACGGCUACGGGGGGCAGCAAUGGGGGAUUUUGCGAGAAGGGCCGAAGCCGGGUAGAGCGACGCCGCGUGCGAAAUGACGGCUUUUGGGGAAUAAACCGCGUUCGCGUGUGACGAAGAGUAAGUGACGGUAACGAGUAAAGAAGCGACGGCUAACUACGUG
rnacentral:rRNA from 1 species